rnacentral:rRNA from 1 species
GCAACACCUCGUUGCCUCUCCUUCUCCGUUCAUUCUUUUCCCAAGUCCAGCCGCAGCCGCCGCCGGAUCCGGUUGCCCUCGACCCAACGCAGGACGCCGCAGCCCCUACAAGUCCAGCCGCCGCCGGAUCCGGCUGAGUUUAGCUUUCUGGUCGGUGCAGCCACUAAAAAAGCAUUCUACACAAAAAAAUCCCCACCGAGAAGCUCUCAAUUGCGUUGCUCUUCUUCCACAUCUCCAUUCCUCUAGCACAGAGCUGCUCUUCUUCUUCUUCCCUCUAUCCAUCCAUCCAGCGAGCCCACGAACCCACAUCGUCAGCGCUGCUCUCCUUCUCUUCUCUCUAUCAGCGGCUGCUCUCCUUCCUCUUCUAUCCGUUCUCCAGCCACACCAAACUCACGCACGCCCGUGGCGGCUGCUUCGCGUUCGUCGCCCGGUUGCGGGGCGGCUGCAUAUCGUGUAUGGGCUCGUGGUGGUCGGGCCGCGCGCACGGUGCUGGCUGGGCUUGUGGCGGAGGGUGCGGCAGCAGUGGCCUCGACCUUGGAGGCGCGGCAGUGGUGUGGCCCGGCCGCGCACACGGUGUUGGCUGGGCCUGUGGCGGAGGGCGCGGCAGCGGUGGUCUACUCAGGGUCGACGCAACAACGGUGGCCUGCUCAAGGUCGACCUUGGCGGCUGCUCGACGGGGCCGCGUGGAUCUGCGUCGGGGCUCCGGGCUCCGGAUCGGCGUGGUCGUGUCCAGCCCACCCUCCUCCGACUACGCCUUGCUGCGGGGCUGCGGGCCCAGAUCUCGUCGGUGGACGCUUGGACUAUUUUUUCUGAAUCUUCACCUGGGCUCUCUUUUUUUCUUUAAGAUUAGCCUAA